rnacentral:rRNA from 1 species
AGGAUGGGACUGCGUCCGAUCAGGCUGUUGGCGGGGUAAUGGCCCACCAAACCUGUAACCGGUACGGGCCUUGAGAGAGGUGGCCCGGAGAUGGACACUGAGAGAAGGGUCCAGGUCCUACGGGGCGCAGCAGGCGCGAAACCUUCGCAAUGCGCGAAAGCGUGACGAGGUUAAUCCGAGUGACUCCCGCUGAGGGGGUCUUUUGUCAGCUGUAAAUAGGCAGGCGAAUAAGGGGAGGGCAAGCCUGGUGUCAGCCGCCGCGGUAAUACCAGCUCCUCGAGUGGUCGGGGCGAUUAUUGGGCCUAAAGCAUCCGUAGCCGGUUCCGUAGGUCCUCUGUUAAAUCCAACCGCUCAACGGUUGACCUGCAGAGGAUACCGCGGGACUAGGAGGCGGGAGAGGCGGACGGUACUCCGCGUGUAGGGGUAAAAUCCUUUGAUCCGCGGAAGACCACCAGUGGCGAAGGCGGUCCGCCAGAACGCGCUCGACGGUGAGGGAUGAAAGCUGGGGGAGCGAACCGGAUUAGAUACCCGGGUAGUCCCAGCCGUAAACGAUGCUAGCUAGAUGAUUCAUUCGCAAGUCGCGAAUGAAGUGUCGCAGGGAAGCCGUUAAGCUAGCCGCCUGGGGAGUACGGUCGCAAGACUGAAACUUAAAGGA